rnacentral:lncRNA from 13 species
CUCAUACGUUCACUCUUUCCUCUUUACUAGGGUCUGGGAGAGAACUUUGCAGACCGAGACUCAGCCCAAGCAACCCCAGCUGCCUUUACUGUCCCUACGGUUUGACCUUUUCCGGAACAUCAGAGUGGAAACCAUGCGGCACGGAGGCUUUUCAGAUUGUCUUCUUUCUCGGCACACAGGAAGAAAUGACGAAUCAGGGGUCAGACACCUGAGUGUUGGGAUUUUGUUUUUUAAUUACAUGCCUCUUUGAAAAAUUGGACCUUGUAUUUUAAGCUAUGAUCUGUGAUAUAGAAGGAACCGUCAGGAUGGGGAGUCCAGAACGUUGAGUCAGACCUCACCACGGUCCACCUUGACCUUCUGUCUCCUCGUCAGUAAAAUGAAUGGGUUGCAUUCCUUAGUGUGAAUGCUGCCAGUUGCAGACUUUGAUAGAAAGGAAUUCUCCAACCUGUCCCUGUCCCUUGUGAUAGUGUCG